CCUACGGGUGGCUGCAGUCGAGAAUCAUUCACAAUGGGGGAAACCCUGAUGGUGCGACGCCGCGUGGGGGAAUGAAGGUCUUCGGAUUGUAAACCCCUGUCAUGUGGGAGCAAAUUAAAAAGAUAGUACCACAAGAGGAAGAGACGGCUAACUCUGUGCCAGCAGCCGCGGUAAUACAGAGGUCUCAAGCGUUGUUCGGAAUCACUGGGCGUAAGGCGUGCGUAGGCUGUUUCGUAAGUCGUGUGUGAAAGGCGCGGGCUCAACCCGCGGACGGCACAUGAUACUGCGAGACUAGAGUAAUGGAGGGGGAACCGGAAUUCUCGGUGUAGCAGUGAAAUGCGUAGAGAUCGAGAGGAACACUCGUGGCGAAGGCGGGUUCCUGGACAUAAACUGACGCUGAGGCACGAAGGCCAGGGGAGCGAAAGGGAUUAGAUACCCGUGUAGUC
rnacentral:rRNA from 1 species